rnacentral:rRNA from 1 species
UACAGAGGAGCCAAGCGUUGUCCGGAUUGACUGGGCGUAAAGCGCACGCAGGCGGUUGCGCGCGUGGGGGGUGAAAUCUGGCCGCUUAACGGCCAGGCGCCAUCCCAUACGGCGCGACUGGAGGGCUGCAGAGGUCGAUGGAAUUGCCGGUGUAGUGGUGAAAUGCGCAGAUAUCAGGAAGAACACCCGUGGCGAAGGCGGCUCUCUGGGACGGUACUGACGCUGAGACGCGAAAGCGUGGGGAGCGAACAGG